rnacentral:rRNA from 1 species
GAUGAACGCUGGCGGCGUGCCUAAUACAUGCAAGUCGAGCGAACGGACGAGAAGCUUGCUUCUCUGAUGUUAGUGGCGGACGGGUGAGUAACACGUGGAUAACCUACCUAUAAGGCUGGGAUAACUUCGGGAAACCGUAGCUAAUACCGGAUAAUAUUUUGAACCGCAUGGUUCAAAAGUGAAAGACGGUCUUGCUGUCACUUAUAGAUGGAUCCGCGCUGCAUUAGCUAGUUGGUAAGGUAACGGCUUACCAAGGCAACGAUGCAUAGCCGACCUGAGAGGGUGAUCGGCCACACUGGAACUGAGACACGGUCCAGACUCCUACGGGAGGCAGCAGUAGGGAAUCUUCCGCAAUGGGCGAAAGCCUGACGGAGCAACGCCGCGUGAGUGAUGAAGGUCUUCGGAUCGUAAAACUCUGUUAUUAGGGAAGAACAUAUGUGUAAGUAACUGUGCACAUCUUGACGGUACCUAAUCAGAAAGCCACGGCUAACUACGUG